GGCCUUCUAGUGUAAGGGUAGCACUCCUAGUUCUGAAUUAGGAGGUUGUGGGUUCAACUCCCACUAGGGCCC
rfam:Pseudogymnoascus sp. 05NY08 unplaced genomic scaffold scaffold_446, whole genome shotgun sequence.